GUAACAUCACAAAAUGGUUCCAUCCUACCAGCUCUCUGGUAUUGUGCUUCAUGGUUGAUGCAACAAUGAAGGAAAUGCUAGCUUUACUGAACUGCAUUUCCCCUCCAUGGAGAUGAUCUCAAGGCCUAUAGAUACUAUGGACUUAAACCAGUUUAAUAGUGGUUUCUCUUUUCCAUAGAAUUCUGGGAACUGUUACUUUUUUAUGGGAUAGUUGCACAUAUCUCAUUGACAUCUGAGUAUCUCUUGCACAGAGGUUAUGUUACAUAAGAAAUAUUGUUAGGAAUAAGUCUUAUUGCUCAUGUCAUACCUAUGCUACUUCUCUUAAUGAAACUGAAAGUGGUUUUUCUGCAAGAAAGAAAGAAAGAAGGAAGGAAGGAAGGAAAGAAAGAAAGAAAGAAGCCUCCACCUUUCUUAUGAUUUCCAUUUUGGUGACCAAGCUUACAGACCUAUGCUCUUGGAAAAAAACCACACACAAUAUACUAGGAAGAGCUGUUCUGGGAAGAAAGGUGAUGUUAUAGUAGAAGAAAAAGUAGCAGCUGUAGUAGUAGACAAUUAUACCCUCCUGCUGUGUUCUCUAGCUACUGAUACUGAAAGACAUAUUGCCUCUGAUACUGAAGAUUAUACACUACAGUAAUCACGUCUAACACCCAAUAAAACGUAUCC